GGCUGGACCAGGAACAGCCGGGCUCGGCAGCAUCGCGGGGCCGGCUGGGAAGGGACAAUCCCCCGAGAGAGAGAGGCAGAGUGAUGGCUCAGAUGCUCAGCAGCUUUGGAACAGUGAGACACAGCUGGCUGGAAACACAGCUUCCACAAAGAAUUACCCAAACAGGGUGUUGCAAGGGAGAAAAGCAGUGAGGCCUGGCACCAACAAUAAGAGGUUGCAUAAGGUUUUGACAAAGAGCACAUGGCCUGUGGCAGCUCAGAAGUAAUCAAGAUAUCAGCAAAACUGGCAGCAGCAUUUCAGCCACGUGAGAAACAAGAGCACCCAUGGGAAUGACUGAAGAAAUGGAGUCAUUAAAACAAGCCACUUUUCCCAGGAACAGCUGGUAUUAUUUUAGAAAACAAAACUUGCUGAAGGGAACUGGAAUCUUGCCAGAUCUGGUACUUAAAAAGAAAAGCAAAAAGAUGAUAAUAAAGGAAAAAAAAUUAGAGCAUUUGAAGAUUAGCAACUGUGCAAAAGGAGAAAACCUCCUUUGCAGCAUCCUGAGGCAAGCACCAAAAAAUGGGCCAAUAUUAGCAUAUGCAUUCAGCACACUUCUGGCAGCAAGGACGUGUUUGGAAAGAUUCAUGUGCAAUACCUGUCUUUUGUACUAAGGAAAAUACAAGAAUAAAAAAAAAAAAAGCAGAAAGGGUAACAGAGGACACCACUAAGGCGAGAUGGAGCAGGCCAGCUGGACUGUUAUGAUUUAAUUAAGGAGAGUUUGACUCAGUGGGAUUCACACAUGGGAGAUUAUUCCUAUCAAAUCUGACAGAAUUUUUCACAGUGGUAACAUAUCACAGAGGGAAGCUGUGGACAUAAAACCAAUUUGACACUGUACUGCACACUGUUAAAUUAGAAAGUUAAUGAUUAGGGUAUAUACAGCAUGAAAAGCUUGCAAAAGGAAAGAGCUGACUUUGAAAUCUAAUAUAUGAACUAAAAAUAUACAGUGUAGACCACAUUUUAAUUCAUUCAGCUUCAUCAAAUUACAUGUAUCAGCCUACUCCUAAUAUCUUUUGGUCAACUAACCAUAGAGGCAUAAUACUCCAUUUCCAGCAAAACAUGAAUUCCCAUCUUCUACCUAAAAAUGCAUAAAUUCAUAUUAUCUAAAUGUGAUGAAUUCUUUCUUGGAUUCCAGUCUUGGUUUUUUUGUCCCAGCAGCUCACUGUCAAGAACCUUUAUUAAGAACUGUUCUUCCUUCACAGAGCCGAAGAAUUAUUGAGGGUAGAAUGGACCCUGUGGAGAUUGUCACCACAUCACACCCACUCCCGCCACCCCCCAAAUCCUGGGGGCAGGAGCAGGUUGCUGAGGUUCUCAACCAAUUGAAUUUUGAAUACAUCCAGGAAUGCAGACAUGUGGUCAACUAUCAUCAGAGCAGGAAAGCUUUUUCCUCAAUUUACCUGAAUUUAGUAUAUUUCCAUUCCUGUCUAUUGUCCUGUUGGACAACCUGUCUGCUUUACUCCAUCUUUACUGCCCUCCCAGCUAUUUGACUGAUUUUUAAUUCCCCCCUGACUCUCCUCUCCUCUCCUCUCC